rnacentral:lncRNA from 1 species
UUUUUUUUUUUUUGUCUUUUUGCCAUUUCUUCGGCCGCUCCUGCGGCAUAUGGAGGUUCUAGGCUAGGGGUCUAAUCGGAGCUGUAGCCACCGGCCUACACCACAGCCACAGCAACGCGGGAUCCGAGCCGCGUCUGCAACCUACACCACAGCUCACGGCAAUGCUGGAUCCUUAAUCCACAGAGCAAGGGCAGGGAUUGAACCCCCAACCUCAUGGUGCCUAGUCGGAUUCAUCAACCGCUGAGCCACGACAGGAACUCCAUGGAGGUUCUUAAAAAACUAAAAAUAGAGUUGCUGUAUGAUCCAGCAAUCCCACUCCUGGCCAUACACCCAGACAAAACUAUAACUGAAAACAUACAGGGGGAGUUCCUGUUGUGGCGCAGUGGAAACGAAUCCGAAGAGGAACCAUGAGGUUGUAUGUUCAAUCCCUGGCCUCGCUCAGUGGGUUAAGGAUCUGACGGUGCUGUGAGCUGUGGUGUAGGUCACAGACACAGCUCAGAUCUGGCAUUGCUGGGGCUGCGGCUACAGCUCCGAUUAGACCCCUAGCCUGGGAACUUCCAUAUGCUGCGGGUGCGGCCCUAAAAAGGAAAAAAAGAGAGAGAUAGAGGCAGCAUUUGAACCCAGAUCAUUUGGGCCCGGGAUCUGGAUUUAACAAUUUCAGCACAAGCUAUGGAGACUUAAGGUGGGCAAGCCCGCUGUGGCCUCAAAGCAGAGACCCCUGGAGGAGAACCGAUCCUAUAUCCCAGGCCUGGGGAGGAGCAGGCUGAGUCCCAGGCAGCCAGCCUGGGGGUCAUAGCUGACCACAGGCCAAAGGCUUCCUGGAUUGCCUAGCAGAGGAAUGAGCGACGUGAAAGGGAAAUUCCUCCAGGAAAAGACAACAUUUUUGAGGGUUUUUUGGCCUCAUCUCUGAUUUCAGACCCAUGGUUUCUUUGCUGAGUCAUGGGGGACAUGUUGAAAGGGGUGGGGCGGUGCUGGAGCGUCUCCUCUCAGGACUGGGUUCAGUGGGGGCCUCCGGCGCAGCCCCGCUCCCUGCCCCUGGAAGGCCACCACCCAGCACCUGUUCUAAAAAUAGUUCCCAGGAGGAAGUAGAUGCUACCGCUCUCCGUCCUCAUCUUCCCCUGAGCCUCUUCGGCGAAGAAAUAAGAAUGUAAAUGAAUGCCUGAAUGAAUAAGGGAGGCCAUCUGUGAUGGGACAAACCUUUACGGCCCCUCCUUCCAUCUCCCCCCAGGCUUUGGAAUCACACACCUUUUGGAUUCCAGCUCUGCCUCUCUCGACUCUGAGCAAGCCACGGAGCCUCAGUUUCUUCACGUGUAAAAUGGGGCUAUUUGUUUCAGUCUGCCAGCCUGAGGGCAGGCCCAAGGGAGGUAAGAGAGGGAAAGCUCUUGGCACCCAGUGGGCAUUCCAGAGAUGGUGACUCUUGGGUGCCAGGCCCUGAGAGAGGCUGGAAGUCAAAGAGGAAUGCACCUCGGCCCUCUAGUGCCCAGCCCCGUGGGAGGGGAAAUAGAGACAGAAUGAAUCAACACAAUGGAUGCGUGCUAGAAGAAGGCAAAGGACACAGCAAGGAGAAUGAACCAGCUGCCAGGCUGGGCUGCAGCGCAUCUGGAAGUUUCUGCUCAAGUCUCUGGUCCAGGGUUUCUUGGCAUGACCUUCACAGACUCAUGUUAGGGGUGGAUUCAGAGCUGCAGCUGCCGGCCUACAUCACAGCCAUGGCAACGCUGGAUCCUUAACUCACUGAGCGGGGCCAGGGAUCGAACCUGUGUCCUCAUGGAUACCAGUCAGGUUCAUUACCGCUGAGCCACAACAGGAAUUCCAGAUUCUGCAUUUCUAACAGGCUCUCCCAGUGACUGCUGGGCCACACACAGAUCACACUUUGGGUCCAUAGCUGUCCUCACAUUCACAGGUUUCUCCAUUACUCUUUGUAUCCAUCUUAGGACACCUGCUCAAGAGACUUGCAGAACCUGAGCCCCUCGCCAGAUCCCAGAAUCAAAGUCUCAGAUAAACACUGGUGACUCUGUCACCCAC